rnacentral:tRNA from 2 species
GGCCCUAUGGUCAAGUGGUUAAGACACCGCCCUUUCACGGCGGUAACCGGGGUUCGAAUCCCCGUAGGGUCACCA